rnacentral:rRNA from 1 species
AUUGAACGCUGGCGGCAGGCCUAACACAUGCAAGUCGAGCGGAUGAAGGGAGCUUGCUCCUGGCUUCAGCGGCGGACGGGUGAGUAAUGCCUAGGAAUCUGCCUUGCAGUGGGGGAUGAGGUAAGUAAAGGGGCGCUAAUACCGCAUAGGUCCUGAGGGUGAAAGGGGGGGAUCUUUAGAGCUCGCGGUAUUAGAUGAGCCUAGGUCGGAUUAGCUAGUUGGUGUGGUAAAGGCCUACCAAGGCGACGAUCCGUAGCUGGUCUGAGAGGCUGAUCAGUCACACUGGAACUGAGACACGGUCCAGACUCCUACGGGAGGCAGCAGUAGGGAAUAUUGCGCAAUGGGCGAAAGCCUGACCGAGCCACGCCGCGUGUGUGAAGAAGGUCUUCGGAUCGUAAAACUCUUUUAGUAGGGAAGAAGAAAAGUAAGAGUAACUCUGCAUGUCUUGACGUUACCAACACAAAAAGCACCGGCUAACUACGUG